CAUCACAAUAAACUGACGAUCGUACAGUAAGCUGUCAAAAGCUUGUUGCUUAAAUCUGUGCAGCGCUAUAGUAGAGUAGCAACGAAGUCGAAAUAACGAGCUGUAAGCUAACUCUACGAACAGAGCAAUAAUUAAAUGGGUUGUUAAACAGACAUUUUGGGAGCACUUGACAUCUUGUUUUCGUUAACGGUAGUUUACUUGGACUGCAGUGUCGUCUGUCCUAGCUGGUGCGUGAUUGCUGUUUCCUUCUGGGAAGCGGUUCAUCCGUGAUGAUAUGAGAUCCCCAGCUUGAAGUGGGUUCGUCUACUUUGCUGGCCUUUGCUUUUUUCAAGGCCAGACUCAAUUAAGCAGCCACACAAGAUACCUCAGCUGCAAGUCCUCUGCUACCACUUUGCACAACAUCAGCACCUAAAAAUGCUUAAAUAGAGCCAUAAUAUAAGAGAAUAGAGAUAAUGACCUGAGAAUGAAUGAUAAUUAAAUUACCCUCACUUGUCUGAUAUUUAUGGACACCAUUUGUGGAAUCUACACUUAAAUUUGUCACAACAUACAUCUGCAGUUGUUGUUUUUUGAUGGGUGUUUUCUCAGUGAUUGACCAGCCAUCUGAUCUUUCUGCUCCAGUUGAUGGAGGACUCACCAGGUUGUUUUUAAAAGAGGACUUUGCACAUAGAGCCAACCUACAGCUUUUGUUGUAUUAGGCACAAUAAGAUUGACCUAAAAUAAUUUAUGAUUAUAACCUUUUGGACAUGGCAUUGAACAUGUCUUCAGUAAGAGACACAAAAUGGCUAACUCUGGAAGUCUGUCGACAGUUUCAGCGAGGAAACUGUUCACGUAGUGAUGAGGAAUGCAAAUUUGCUCAUCCACCGAAGAGCUGCCAAGUUGACAAUGGGAGAGUUGUUGCCUGCUUUGACUCCCUGAAGGGGCGAUGCUCAAGAGAAAAUUGCAAGUAUCUUCAUCCACCUUCACACUUAAAAACCCAGUUAGAGAUAAAUGGGCGCAACAACCUCAUCCAACAAAAGACGGCAGCAGCUGUGCUUGCCCAACAGAUGCAGCUCAUGAUCCCAGGACACAGCAUGCAGCCUGUGCCAACAUUUCAUGUUACACAGGGACUGGGCACAAAUACUGGUCUUAGUUAUGGUUCAUACAUGACACCUUUGAGCCAUGGAAUGAGCCUCAUCCCAACAGACAACCUCUCCAGCACCCAGGUUCUUGUUUCUGGGAGCCCACCGGUUACGGUCCAGAGCUCCUCUUCUUCUUCUUCUUCUUCUUCCUCUCCCUCACAGAAACUGCAGCGUUCGGACAAGCUAGAGGUGUGCCGCGAGUUUCAGCGGGGAAACUGUGCAAGAGGGGAGACAGAUUGCCGCUUCGCUCACCCCAGUGACAGCCCAAUGAUUGACACCACAGAUAACACGGUCACUGUUUGCAUGGACUACAUCAAGAGCCGCUGCUCCAGGGAGAAGUGCAAGUAUUUUCACCCGCCUGCACAAUUGCAGGCCAAAAUCAAAUCCAGUCAACAGCAAGUCAAUCACACAGCCGUCGCAGCCCAGGCUGCAGCCAUGACUCAGUCGACUGCCAAAGCAAUGAAGCGAUCCCUCGAGGCAACUGUAGACCUGGGUUAUCCCUACAGUGUACCCCUACCAAAGAGACCAGCUUUUGAGAAGAGCAACUGGGCCAGCUCUCUCCUCAGUCCUAGUUUUUUGCACUACCAACAGGCUCUAGCCAACUCCCAGCUGCAGCAGCCCACUGCCGCAUUUUAUCCCACAGGUUCUUUCUUCUGCAUGACUCCCACGAACGGCAUUGGAAAACAUUGCUAUGGUUACCAUAAUGCUCCACCUCCCUUUUCAUUGCUUUCAUGGUUCCCUUCCUGAAAAAGUCCCCAUGAUGUACAGUGCUACGCCUGCUACUGUCUCUGCAGCAACUACUCCCGCCACAAGUGUCCCCUACGCAGCAACAGCACCAGCCAAUCAGAUCAUCCUCAAGUAACCACCAGAAAUAGAAGUCAGUGCCGUGUUGCUGCUGUUAAAGACGCCAAACAGCUGCUCUGUAAAUAUUCUGUUAACACUACACACAACCUACAACAAGCUGCAUGCUGAUAACAUCACUCAAGAAAAGGUUGUAGACAUUAUUUUCAUCUCACGUAAUAAAUUACAUAGCUCAAUUACUAGGAUUACACUGUUAGGUAAGUGUCACAGAAGAUUAUUGUAUGCACGCACCUUUGCACCUGCAUUAACAUGCAUCCUCAGUAGUGUGCAUAAUAUCCUGGUUUCUAUUUCCUAAUCCAAUUCUGACAGAGGUCAGAGGUGCAUUUAGCCUCUUAAUCAGCUGAAAUGCAAUGUGUCUCCUGUUCACGAAUAAGAGCCUGAAAAGGAAAGAAAAUAAGUUUUCUGAACAAAUCCAACCAAGUAAUACAUGGAAAUCAAACAAAAACAGGCAGUGCAGGUACAGUAGUAACACCUAAAAUUAACUGAUAAUAAAACAAGCUGAAAUGUUGUUCACUGACAGUUUUAAAUUAUGUAAAUAGUACAGGAGGAAGGGAUGAGCAUGACAGAUCUAAUCUGAAAACAAUACGUGUUAAGACCAGGUGUAAAGGGGUCCUAUAUUGUUUGAAUUGUAUCCUCAACAUAUUGAGCAACACAUUAUUUUUCCUUUCUUGAAUGUGUUAUGUACACUAAAAUGUUUUUCACAUAAAUGAUUGUUUAUCUAGUGCCAGCUUUACUUAUUUCAAACAAACUAGCAAAACACACUUUUAACUUUGGAUUUUACAUUGUAAAAUGACGAAAAUGUCCUCUAGGUGUUCUGAGGGUCGAUCAUCUGUAAUGUAUAACCUCUCAUCCCAGAGAACAGGAUCAGUGCUCCACCUCCUGGUGUGCCUUUGCAUUGCAUAUACAGAAUGUAUUGCUGCAGAUACUUAUUUCUUUAAGGCAUUGAAGCAACAAUGAUGCAAACAUUGUUGCUUCACCGCCCCCCCCCCCCCCCCCCCCCCCCCCCCCCUCCUGCUGGUAUAUCUGGAAGUGGUUUUCACUGGAGCCAGUUCCACAAAGAUAUACUUUGAUUAGGGCUUAGGUCAAACUAAUAAGUCCAAUUACAUAUGUCUGAAUUAAUAUGCUGCACAAAGAUGUCUAGUUUCUUAAGGAACCAGGAAACCACAACAAUCCGCUUAGCAGAAAAUGUUUCGAUUGGUGACACUGGUCAGCAGGAGUCACUGAUUGUUACCCUGGAAACACUUCUCGACAGGUGUCACUUACAGUUACUAUGGAAUUAUCUUAGCUCUAAAUUUUGCUGGUGGUAGGGUCACUCGCGUUUUAGGCUUAACAUAAAUCUCUCUUUUUUUUUUGUGAGACUACGACUCACGACUUGCAUCAACGAAAUCUGCAAAAUUAAAAUGGGCCUUACAUUACAGACCAGUCUAAAAUAUCUUUGUGAAACCAGCUCCUGGUUCAACAUGAACAUUUAACAAACCAUGUUUUAAAUAAGAGCCUCCACAGCCAUUGACUCAGUUAAGGCUGUUAGAAUUACUACCACUCAAAUACAAACUAAAGUCCCUGUAAUCACAUCAGGGAUACAUUGGGUAGUGUGUGAACUGUCAGUCGUAAUGUUACAGCCCGUUGUCAGUACUGUAUUAAUUGAAUGUUACAAGUGCCUGAAGAAUUGUGCAAGUGAGAAUAUCCCUGCAUAUUUAAAAGGCUUUGUGUGAAAAAUCACUUGAUUAAAUCUACUCUAAUUAAGCCACAUUUAGAGAGAAAUGUUUUGCAAUGCUACGUCAGUGCAUUAAGUCUUUCAGUUAAUUUUCACAGAGGAAAUUUGUAUGAAUGUACUGUGUCUAAGAGUUAAAAUCAAGCUUAAUUUCAUUCGUUUUGAUUUUAAGAUGAUUAAUGUAUAACAAUUGUUCCCAAAUCAGUUUCACACACAGUACAAAACUUCUGAAGAGGUAGAUGUUUGGUGAAGUUUAGUUUACCCGUCUUUGUUUGUAACUGACAGCAGACAGAGUGGGUAGUGUGUGUGGUUGAGUGAAAAACAAAACAGCUUUCAUUCCUAUAUGUAACAUUCUCUUGACUAUUUUUCAUGUAAGUUUUAGUUCCCUGCUUUGCAAACAGCUUGUGCAAAUAACUUUUCCUUUAAUGUUUAUGAUGUCUUUUCAAGUGACUGAUCUAAGUUGUUGGUUUUUAUGAAAAUGUGUGUACGUACAAUUGUGUGUGAUUAACUCUGACAAUCCACCACGAGAUAUUUCAUUUGUUCACUUUUUGAUUUUUCUUUAAUUUGUUAUGAAAAGUUCGACACAUUUUUGUUUGGAAUAUAAGGAGUAUACGUGCAUAUUUUACUAGUUUAACAUUAGAAAAGAAGGCUUUUAAAAUGUAUUCUCUUCUAUUUUAUGAUGAAUGUAAUUUAUUAAAUGGACUUUAGCUCGGCUGGAGGUUCCUCAAAGGGCCUUGAUCUGUUGUAUUAGCCUAUGAUAAGCCGUCUUGUGUCAAGGGUUUAAAUGUUGGAGCAAAACAAAAGCUCAAAACAUUUCAUCCCUGUCACUGCCUUGUCACCUGUGAGGGACAACAAACCUUUGCAUGAGCAAGGCAAUAGAAUUGCUUUUAAUGUACAAAAGUGCAGUGUACAGGCCACAUUUUAUGAAAAGUAACUUUCAGAAUAGUGUAAUAAUAGUUUGUCAUUUAAUUGUUUUUGAUGUGUUGCUGAGGCAAUCUGAAGUUGCAGUGAUUAAAAACUGUAUUUUUGUAGGGGUUGCUUUUGGUUUUGCUCCUCACAAUAACACAUUAGAUUGUACUGUCAGAUAUUUUACUUUGUUAUGCCAUGGUGAAAUACUGUAAGUGAUCCAGUGCAUGAGGAUAUAUUUUGGAACGUCAACCUUUUGCUUUAUAUGGUUUUUAACUGCAUGUUAACAUCUUGCAGCAAACAUAUAAUCCACCCUCAGACAAUCUGCAGUCAGGGGGUCAGCAGUUGAUGGUUCAGCAGCUGAUUGAACCUUUGUUUUCUUUUUAUAAUAUGUUUGCUUUUCAAGUUUAGGUUAUUAUUAGAUCUAUGACGUGUUCCCUUAUUUAUUUUACCUGCAAAUAAAAGGCAUAUAGCCAAAUGUUUGUUUUACACCUUUUGGCAGAAAGCUUGAAUGUCGUGGAUAUGCCCACACAUGGAGGUCACCCGGUCAAAACGAUGUGGACAGUAAGAAUGUUUGGUCUGACUGACUAUAGCACUUUCUCAAACGUCAGACUGAGAGGACAUGCUUUUUGUAAACUUUGCCUUAUCUUUAAUCUAUUCCUAAGUUUGUAUUUGUUCAUUAACUAAGAAUUUCAUUUUGUCUAAUAAAUAAAAAGCAUUUCACUGAA